AUAUUGAGAUGGAGUUACCAGGGCUGAAGUAGAAAAGUCAGAGCAAAACCACGCCUGUGUCUUCCUCCUGCCUCAGGGACGAACACCUUCCUUCCAGGCUCAGCAGACCCUGGGUUCCACCAUUGACAAAGCUACCGGGAUCCUGUUAUAUGGCUUGGCCUCCCGACUCAGGGAUACCCGGCGUCUCUCCUUCCUUGUAAGCUACAUAGCCAGUAAGAAGAUCCACACUGAGCCCCAGCUAAGCGCUGCCCUUGAGUAUGUGCGGAGUCACCCCUUGGACCCCAUCGACACUGUGGACUUCGAGCGGGAAUGUGGCGUGGGUGUCAUUGUGACCCCAGAGCAGAUUGAGGAGGCUGUGGAGGCUGCUAUUAACAGGCACCGGCCCCAGCUCCUGGUGGAACGUUACCAUUUCAACAUGGGGCUGCUGAUGGGAGAGGCUCGGGCUGUGCUGAAGUGGGCAGAUGGCAAAAUGAUCAAGAAUGAAGUGGACAUGCAGCCUGGGCAACAUGAGCAAGACUCCAGUCUGGGCAACAAGAGCAAGAGCAUUUUAAGCUAGCAGACCCACAUGAGGAGAAGAGAU
rnacentral:sRNA from 1 species